AUGACCCAGUGUAUUGAUUUCAGGCCCACAUCUUCCCGAUACUGCAGGCAACCUCUCCUUACCAACCUGGUUGGCAACAUCAUCUUUACUUUCUUCACAAUUGGUUUCACUGUGCUGCUGACGCAUAUGGAACCAGUCCCGCAGGCACUGAAGAAGAUGUUUGCUCUAUUCGGUGUGGGAUCCUUUGGGGAAGGAGCCUGUACCGUGGUGUUAACAGUUUUGGCAACUGACUGUGUGUGUUUUUAUUUUUUUUUCAUUAAUUUUUUUUUUAACAUUUUGUUUACUUAUUCGUCAGAGAGAGAACAGCAGGCAGAAGGGGAAGCAGGCUCCCCGCUGAGCAAGGAGCUCGAUGCUGGACUUGAUCCCAGGAUGCUGGGAUCAUGAACUCAGCCACCCAGGCACCCUGUGUGUAUUUUUAAAUACUGAAUUUCUCAAGGGCUCACCUUAAUCUGAAAGCGUGUCUGUAUAUAAUAAACCAUCAGUAUUCAAUAUUUAUUUUCUCCUCACACUAAAAAUAGAGAUAUGUAGAUACAAAAUUCCUAAUUAGACACAUGUCACAUUUAAAACAUAUCAUCAGGGGGUGCCUGGGUGGCUCGGUGGGUUAAAGCCUCUGCCUUCGGCUCGGGUUGUGAUCCUGGGUCCUGGGAUUGAGACCCACAUCGGGCUCUCUGCUCAGCGGGGAGCCUGCUUCCCUCUCUCUGCCUGCCUCUCUGCCUACUUGUGAUCUCUGUCAAAUAAAUAAAAUCUUAAAAAACAAACAAACAUAUAUCAUCAGGGAAGUUUAAAAAUUCCAUGAAAGAUUUUUCUUUCUGUGGAUAAAAUCUACUUUGCUAGACUAAAAAGAAAGAGGUGGAGGAAGAGAAAAGAUAAGCCAUCAACCAACAGCAGAAGUGCGGGCCUGUACGUGGCGCGGAGAGCAGCAAGCACCAUCUCUUGCUAAGCUGGUGCCACUGUUUAAAUCCUUUGGCAAAAAAGUUGUAAAUAUAGGUUCCAACCAAAGACAAGUUUUUCUCACAGUGCUUUUUCUUCUCGAAUACAGGAAAAAACGACCCCUGAACUUUACUACUUGUCUGUGCUGCUGUCAGUGAGCAGCUUAGUUUCUGCAGGUAAGCAAACAUCCCAAGUAGCCUCUCCUUGUCAGAGGCUUCGAGGAAGUCCCUGCUCAGCUAGAGCUGUCACAGCGCAAGAGAAGCCUGGUUCCUCCUAAAGCAAGAGCUCCACGAAGCAAAGGAGUAAAAAGCCAUCCUUUUCACAGGAUUUCCAAUCCAUUUAAUUAGAUCCCGUGCUUCAUCCCACAGUGCUUUUCUCCAGCCUGGCGCUAAGCUGGCUGGUUAGCGUGGCCUGCGCACCACCAGACGCUAAACCAAUGGUCUGACGCUGGCACGUGAGCCCUCCAGUCUCCUGCCUCACACAGAUGGCUCGCUGUGGGCAAGCAGGAGCUCAUCUCCUACCCUGCUACUCUCGAGUGAGAUGGUCAGCUGACAUCAGAGCUACGAAAACAGGAAGCACACCAAAACCAGUCAUCUGAAAGAAAGGUAUCGAUUAGCACUGACAAUGGAGAAAAAGGAACAGUUCAACCCAAAUCACCGAACUGACAACACUACCAAAUUCACCCCACAUAAAGAUACUCUAUUAAAUACUUUCAAGAUCAUGACAUUGACUUUCUGAACCUCUGUUUUUGUUUCGUGAAACUAUUACCGUCAGCUGGAUGGAUAAGCACUGAGAAGGAAGAAGUAAAAUUAGAUCUUAGUAAUGAACAAAGGUUUAGGUUUAAUUUUAGGAGGCUAAAGGGAUUCAGAUGGUGUAUUCAAACAAUUUGUUCUUUAAAAAUGUAGUGGGAAAUUUUAGAGUAAAAAUAACCACAAUCUCCUCUACACAGGUGACACAAUCUUCUGCAUCUUGACAGUCAAAGCUGUCCAGAGAAAAUAACUAAGUGACCCACAUAAUGUUUGUCUUCUUUUCCUGUGAGGUAGUUUAAGUAGGAGCUAGGUCAUCACAGAUGCUCUUAACGUUCUGAGGAAGUGAAGACAACUCUAUUUCUUUUCUUUUUUUUUUUUUUUUUNNNNNNNNNNNNNNNNNNNNNN
ensembl:lincRNA